rnacentral:rRNA from 1 species
GGUGAAAAGAACCCCGGGAGGGGAGUGAAAUAGAACCUGAAACCCUGCACUUACAAGCUGUGGAAGCACAUUUCUUGUGUGACCGCGUACUUUUUGUAGAACGGGCCAACGAGUUACGUUAAGUAGCAAGGUUAAGCACUUAAGGUGCGGAGCCGUAGCGAAAGCGAGUUUUAACUGAGCGUUCAGUUACUUGACGUAGACCCGAAACCGGGCGACCUACCCAUGAGCAGGAUGAAGCGAAAGUAAAAUUUCGUGGAGGUCCGAACCCACGAGCGUUGAAAAGCUCGGGGAUGACUUGUGGGUAGCGGUGAAAUUCCAAUCGAGCCCGGAGAUAGCUGGUUCUCCCCGAAAUAGCUUUA